UUCAGAGUCUCUUUCCAUUGAGGUUGUCUGACUUCAGAAGCAGGAGAUGACCCUUCUUGUUUGUGCUGGUGUCUGGGUACUCUGUUAUCUGCACCUCCUUGCAGAAACAACCUCUCUGCAGAGCUGGCUGACCAAAUAUGAGAUAAGUAGGAGAGCCCGUGAGAAGUCAGAAUGGAGCUUAACGAUGCAGCAGUUUAGCAGAAGCAACCUGACUGCACGGGGACAUUGCUUUUCCUCUCUUCCUGCUGCCUUUUCCAGGCUUGGCAUUCUCAGUGUGGAUGACUUGGGACUGUAGGGUCCCUUUUCAAGUGCACCUACAGGCUUUGCCACAGCUGUUAAGCUUCCUUUGUGAAGCAGGAGUUCUACAAGGGCACAGGCACAAUUUGGAAAUAUCUAUUAAAAGUAGCAGGAGAGACAGAGGUAAAUGGAUUUCUGGAAGACUUGGCCAAAGGAGGAACUCUGGUUGCCUAUGGAUACUGACAUCUCCUGAACUAGGUUACUCAUCAGUUCAGUGGAAGAGCAACUGAAAGAACACAGGAUUUUUGACUUCUCUCCCCAUAUUCAGACAGCGCUACAUUAUGUGUUUGAUAGAGGACAAUGACCUUCAGAAAGUUUUCCAUCAUUUUAGAAGCUUUCUCAAAACUAGGACAGUGGUCUGGGCUCAGUCCUGACAACUUCUGAAAAGCCUCUCCAGGGUUCAGUCCUAAAUAUCAUCACUGUGGACACAUCUGGUUUGAAAGCUUAAAUUCUGCAAUGAUGAGAAAAAUCUGCUUGAAUUUAAUGGCAUGGAAACUCUCUUUUUUCUUUCCAUACCUCAGAAAUGUGCAGGGCUACAUUAAACCAACACUCUGGAAACAAAACCGCUUAAAUCCACGCUGGCUUUUG